rnacentral:tRNA from 1 species
UGCAGUGUGGCGUAGUGGUUGAGCAUUGGACUAUGACUCUGGAGACCAGAGUUCAGUUCCCAGCUCAGCCA